rnacentral:rRNA from 1 species
AUUGAACGCUGGCGGCAGGCCUAACACAUGCAAGUCGAGCGGAGCGGCGGACGGGUGAGUAAUGCCUAGGAAUCAGCCUGGUAGUGGGGGAUAGCGUCCGGAAACGGGGGAUAAUACCGCAUACUAUAAGAUGAGCAUAUGUCGGAUGAGCUAGUUGGUGGGGUAAAGGCCUACCAAGGCGACGAUCCGUAACUGGUCUGAGAGGUUGAUCAGUCACACUGGAACUGAGAUACGUUCAAGACCCCUACGUGAGGCAGCAGUGGGGAAUCUUGGACAAUGGGCGAAAGCCUGAUCCAGCCAUGCCGCGUGUGUGAAGAAGGUCUUCGGAUUGUAAAGCACUGUAAGUUGGGAGGCGUUACCAACAGAAUAAGCACCGGCUAACUUCGUGCCAGCAGCCGCGGUAAUUC